UUGGAGUUACGAACCUUUCACGAAAUUUGACGAACAAUGUUACGAACUUUUAUUUUCUGUGUACCUAUUGAAAAAAAAAGUUUAGUAGAUUAGAUGUUUAAAAAAGAACAUGAAUUAGAUAAUUUAAAGAAAAAAAUACAAAAGAAUGAAAAAUUCUUCUUGCUGAGAAAAACAAUUUAUAUAAAAAAAGAAAUUCUUCCAUUUUCUGCGUCUUGUGAAAGAUUUAAAAAAAGACGAUUCAAAGAGAUAAUUGCGAUACAUUGAAUAUUUAUUAGGUUAUGAAAAUAUUAUCAUUUUAUUAUAGAGCGGAAGGAAGGCGUAUGAGGCGGGGAAACAUGGAUGGGACGGAAGAAACGAAUCAAAUAUAAUGAAUAAUUAAAAUUUUGAAAGUUGCUUUGUAGACACACAGCUAUACCGUAUAUAUAGUUAUAUAAGAAAAGGAGGAAAUGCGGAGCUUUUCUUACAAAUUUACCAGAAAACGCCUAAAACAUUUUUUUUCUGUCAACUUCAAAUGCGCGCGGUCUAAUUCAUUCCAACUUAUAAUGAUUUAUUUGCAUAGUAAUUGCCGCUGAGUCAUGGCUGUUUUAUCUUCUUUGUCCUUUUUAUGAUGGCUCUUAAAGUCAACACUCGAAUUUUAAAUGAGAAAGAAGUGUUUCAAAAGCUAUACGAAAGCGUGGAAAAGGUCCGUUUUUUUGCAUUGGUUUUGCUGAAUAUUUCGUUUUUUUUUUUUUUAAAUAUUUUGAAAAAAAAAAUAUCAGAAUAAAAAAGACAUUAUUGUAAAAUAUUCGAAGAAUUUUUUUUAAUUAUUAAUUUUGCUCAAUGAUAAAAUUAUAGUUUCUUAGCAAAGAAAAGGAAAGAGAAAAAACUUUUUUAAAUGAAAGUGGAAUGCAAAAAAGUGAAAAUUUUUUUAUUUAAAUGUAAAGUCCUGCCAAUUGCCAUUUUCUAAUAUGUAUAGGUAUGUAAUAAUAUAUGAAUUAAACAAUAUAUUUUGUAAUAAAUGAAUGUGUAAUAUUUUGCGUGUUGCAAAGGAAAAAAAAUCAUAAAGUUGUAAAUAAAAAAUCAUUGAGAGAUAUAAGAGAUAUUAUUAAUUUAAUAUUAAAAUAUAUAAUAUACCUACAAUUAUGAAGAAAUAGAAGAAAAAAAACUAAAAUUACUAUAUAGGUACCUACCUACUAAUUAAGAUGAGUAAUAGAGUGUACUCUUUUUCAGAGGAAAAAAAACUUUAAAAAAAAAUAAAAAGAAAGAUUAAAAUAGAUAAAAUGGGGAUAAAUUUGGAGUUUUUAGACAUAAAAUGUUUUAGAUAUAAAAUAUAACAUAAAAAGAGGCAUUAAUUAAAAAAAAAUGGAACAAUGAACAAACUAAUUAGAGAGUGUGAAUUAAUUUAGAAAGAAGAAUUUAAAAUGAUUUUUUUCAAAAUCACAAAAUAUUAAAAAAAUGGUCUAAUAAUAAAAUAAAUUUAAACAUUGUUAACAUUUUUUAUCAAAGAUGCCAAAAAGGCAAGGAGAAUCACAAAAGGAAAACAAUUUUAAAAGGAAAAUUUUAAAAAUCACGGAUGUGCAUAAAUUUAGUGCCAAAUUACCAUAAACUGGAAAAUUAAAUUUUCCUCAUUUUUUUUAAAUACAAACUUCAAUAUUUUAACUUGCUAUUUCACAGUUUAUUUUAGUGAAAAGCAACGGAUAAUAUUUAUUUCUCCCAUUACACGUGAAAUAUUUUCGUUCCGAACAUAAAACAAAAAUUGUAUCAAAUUGGUAAAACAAAAUCCUCUCUAAAAAAAAUCUAAGAGCGAAUUAAAUUUUAUCCCAUUUUAAUAAAAUAUUUAGAGAUUAUUAUAUAUUAUAGAGUAAAACGAGAGAGAUGGUACAUCCUAAAAAAAACAAGAAAAAAACGUGGUAAACUACAAUUAUACAAUUAAAAGAAAAAGAGAAUAAAAAAAUUAUUGUA